GACGAACGCUGGCGGCGUGCUUAACACAUGCAAGUCGAACGGAAAGGCCCUGCUUUUGUGGGGUGCUCGAGUGGCGAACGGGUGAGUAACACGUGAGUAACCUGCCCUUGACUUUGGGAUAACUUCAGGAAACUGGGGCUAAUACCGGAUAGGAGCUCCUGCUGCAUGGUGGGGGUUGGAAAGUUUCGGCGGUUGGGGAUGGACUCGCGGCUUAUCGGCUUGUUGGUGGGGUAGUGGCUUACCAAGGCUUUGACGGGUAGCCGGCCUGAGAGGGUGACCGGCCACAUUGGGACUGAGAUACGGCCCAGACUCCUACGGGAGGCAGCAGUGGGGAAUAUUGCACAAUGGGCGGAAGCCUGAUGCAGCAACGCCGCGUGCGGGAUGACGGCCUUCGGGUUGUAAACCGCUUUCGCCUGUGACGAGGCGUGAGUGACGGUAAUGGGUAAAGAAGCACCGGCUAACUACGUG
rnacentral:rRNA from 1 species